UCCACAAAUAGUUCAAAUCUGGUUAGAGCACCGAGGACUGCAACUCCUCGGGUGGUUCCAAGUUCAAAUCUUGGUUGUGGAC